rnacentral:misc_RNA from 1 species
CAGACAUAAGAAAAAUCUUCUUACUUACUCUAAAACUCUUUUGUUCGAAAGUCCAAAUACUCUCUGUUUUUACUCUUAUGAUAUGUUCGACUACUCAAGUUUCUUCUCUCCCCUGUUUUCAUUCCACAAGCUACUGAAAGACAUCACCCUACAAGCCUAUGAGGUAACGCUUUUGCUCUGAUCCUUUUUGUUUACUUUUGCUUAAACUUCAAUGCUUCCGACACCUUGCAUAUUUUUUUAUGAAGUUUAAGAAAAAAAACAUUUGAGAUAUGUAUCUGAUAGGUCACAAAAUACUGAUAAGAUGGGGAUUACAAUUGUUGUUGUUUUCAAUGAUUUGCAUGUGUUAUGGGGAUGGUAAAGAAGUUAACAAAAUCAAUUCUAAAAACUGAGGUUCUGUUUUUUUUAUAAUGUUUUAAUGAAUUUCUCACCGUUCGUUGAUUUGGUAGAUUACAUUAGAAUUUUCUCUUGAAAAAGGAUAGUCAACAAUAAUUGAUUUUGUCGCGUUGAAUAUUCAUUUAAUCAUUUUGAUCAUACUCUCUUAUCUUAGUAUUUUCUUUAUUAAAAUAAAAUUCAGAAUGGGCGAUGCAUGCCUGAAAUGUAUUUAGUUUCGGGAAAAUUGUUUUUGAUUUUGUGAAUUUGUAUGAUACUUACAUGUUUAACUUGAACCAAAAUUUCAGAAAUGGAUUGAAAUGGAUCAUUAAUCUGAUUUUGUCAUUUUGCAGAGGUUUAUGGGGAACACAAAAUGAAAAUGGAGACUGAUCCGAUCCGUCACAUUCAUAUAACUUUAAAGGUGCUGGCUAGAGACUGAGUAAUGAUGAUGGAGUUCACGAAGGGAGAAUGUUACGGAAUAGAGAAAUCAAAAUUUGAAGGUGCUAGACGGGUAAUAAUGAUUUGAGUAUAGGGAUAUUUACAAAUGCUUGUAAGAUGUGUGAUGAGAGGAUGUAUGUGUAGUGUGUGUAAACGUAUCAUUGUAUAGAUGAGAUAAAUGUGCAAGUUGUGGAUGGAUGUGUAGGAUGUGGAUGGUGUAGAUGGAUGUGGAUGGUGUCGAUGAUGAAUGUGUAGGAUGUGGAUGGUAUAUGUGAAUGUAAAGGAUGUGGAUGGUGUAGAUGAAUGUGUAGGAAGUGGAUGGUGUAGAUGAUGAAUGUGUAGGAUGUGGAUGCUAGUGAAUGUAAAGGAUGUGGAUGGUGUAGAUGAAUGUAUAGGAAGUGGAUGGUGAAGAUAAGUUUGUGGAAGGUAUGUGGCUUGUGAAAAUGAUGUAUACUAGUCCUUUACGAUAAGUAGCCAGUCAUUUUAACGUCAGAGAUAUACGAUAAAUUUUACCCGAGUUAUUUUCAGAAUUAUA